UAUAUACUCCCUCCGUUCCAUAUUAGUUGUCGCUCAAACGGAUGUAUCUAGCACGUGCUAGAUACAUCCAUUUCAGCGACAACUAAUAUGGAACGGAGGGUGUAGCUU
rnacentral:pre_miRNA from 1 species